AUCCCUUCGCAGUGGCAGAGCUGUGAGCCUAUGAGGUCAACUGAGGCGUGAUUAUUGCUAGUUGAAAACUUUAACCAAUUCCCGCCUUGACGACCUGAAAUAUAAUCGGGCAAUGGCAAUUUUGAUGGUCUCUAUGGAGA